rnacentral:tRNA from 12 species
CUGUGGCCUAACGGAUAAAGCAUCUGUCUCCUAAUUUAUUUAACCUAGGUAAACAGAAGAUUGUGGGUUCGAAUCCCACCU